UGUGGUUUAAUUCGACGCAACGCGCAGAACCUUACCUAGACUUGACAUCCGGGAUUUCUGGAAACAGAGAAGUGCUUUAGCAAUAAAGAACCCGGUGACAGGUGCUGCAUGGCUGUCGUCAGCUCGUGUCGUGAGAUGUUGGGUUAAGUCCCGCAACGAGCGCAACCCUCGCCUUUAGUUGCCAGCAUUCAGUUGGGCACUCUAGAGGGACUGCCGGUGUCAAACCGGAGGAAGGUGGGAUGACGUCAAGUCCUCAUGGCCUUUAUGUCUAGGGCUACACACGUACUACAAUGGCCGGUACAAAGGGCAGCCACUCAGCGAUGAGGCGCUAAUCCCAUAAAGCCGGUCUCAGUCCGGAUCGCAGUCUGCAACUCGACUGCGUGAAGUUGGAAUCGCUAGUAAUCGUAGAUCAGCAUGCUACGGUGAAUACGUUCCCGGGCCUU
rnacentral:rRNA from 1 species